rnacentral:rRNA from 1 species
GAUGAACGCUAGCGGCAGGCUUAAUACAUGCAAGUCGAGGGCAUCAAGGUACACGAAAGUGUAUUGUUGGCGACCGGCGGACGGGUGAGUAAUAGGUAGGUAACCUACCUCAUACUGAGGCAUAGCUGGGAGAAAUUCCAGGUAAUUCCUCAUGAGGUUAUAUGACACAUGUGAUAUAAUCAAAGGUAUCGCAAGGUACUGGUAUGAGAUGGGCUUACUGACCAUUAGCUAGUUGGUGAGAUAAGAGCUCACCAAGGCGAAGAUGGUUAGGGGUUUUGAGAGAGAGAUCCCCCACAUUGGAACUGAGAUACGGUCCAGACUCCUACGGGAGGCAGCAGUAGGGAAUAUUGGGCAAUGGGCGGAAGCCUGACCCAGCCAUGCCGCGUGAGGGAAGAAGGCCUUCGGGUUGUAAACCUCUGUCAUGGGGGAAGAAGUAAGUGACGGUACCCCAAGAGGAAGCCCCUGCUAACUACGUG